UGUAAAUAAGUUUUAUAUUGUUUAAUUAGUCCUCUGUAAAUUGUUGUUAAGAUGUAUGCCUGUCGUAGAUGUUUGAAGAAUAUACUCUUAAUACAGAUUUUACUCGUAUGAUCUGUAGUACAGGUAACAAUAUUUUUUUAGAGAACUCCUUCUCUGAAGCUAUUUAGUCGCGAUCCCGCGAGGAUGAGCUAACCUCUAAAUUCCUCAGUUCAGAUUGCAGAUUUUAUGCUUUGAAACAACAUGUAGAUAGAUAUAUAUGUACUCAUUAUGAUUGUUGUCCGAAUUGUAACAAACAACAUGUUUGCUUACUGCUUAUUAAUCAUCUCUUUUGGUUGUUAUACUAAGUAUGUGUGAUACUUUGUAAGUUGUAUGAUUAUCGUUUUGCUCUAAUAUUAUAUCUCACAUUGAUGUAUCAGAUUGUGAUUGGCUGGUUGGUCUGAGCUUCCGCAGGAAUUAGUGAGGUUGAUAGCUCAUUGUCUUGUUACUUUACUAAUAAAGUCCGAGUCACAUGUGUUUAUACUUCAUGGAGGUCAGUAUUACCAACUAUUUCUAGUAUUAAGGGAGUUCAGCCAUGGUUGCUGCUGUGUCGUGAUGAUUAUACAAACGAAAAGUAUGUAAGGUUUCUUAUUAGCAUACAUGAAAGAAGAGUAGGUCACAGAGGUCCUUGGUAAUGAGGAGUUUCGCCGUUCUUCCCAUGGAUGAUUAGGGUUUAUUAAAAAUGACACUUCUAAAAUCACUUUGUUAGUCUGUUUAACCCAAUCAGUAGGGUUGAAAUCACCCUUCCAGCAAGGCUCAAGUCCCAUAAUCUGUGAAAGUAUUGUGCAAAGAAGCUUGACUGAAAGGGUGAUUUCAGUGUAUCUGCAAUUGUUUCACUGAUGAUUUUGGAUUUGUGAUGGAUUUUAGAUAUUCUGGACGGUAACGUUGCAGAAAAGGAAGGUGAGCUUGUUUGAUGUAGUGGAUGACUCGUGGGCAUUGGCGAAGAAAGCGAAUGGAAGCUUAAAUGGUGGGAACAGCAUGACACCUUCGAUCAACAAGUUGUCCUAAAAGUCUUACUCCCAGAUAUUCUAUGAGGUUUUUGGAGGAGAGGAAGACUCUUCCCUUAUGAAAUUAAAAAGAGGAGUUCUCAAGCUGAUGAAUAUCCAAUCAUUUGGCUAUGCUGUCUCCGUCGCUGGCUGUCGUCACCAGGCAAUCCGAAUCAUCUCUCCCUCACUCUCUCUCCAUCUCUUCUCCCUCAGUUUUGAUUUGUCUUUAUUGUUGAUGGCUCUCUUUCUGUCUUAGCUCUCAACCUUGCCUCUCAUCAGUUUCAAUAGUCGCGGGCUUACAUACUCGAGAUCAGGUUUGGUUUGGUUUGGUUUUUCUCCCUUUUCAUUAUUUUUCUGUUUUAGUUUUUUGUUGAUUUUCAAUUUCUAUUAACUGUUUUGUGCAUCUUGUGGUUUGCUUUAGAUUAUGUUCAAUUUUUUUAAUGAUUCUUAUAAUACAAGUACCAAACUGUAUUUGUAUGUUAUGGGGUUGAGAUGGAAUAUUUAGCAUCCAUCGCCUCAGUGCGUUUGAUUAAUUUAGCAGAGUGAGGGUUGUUAUACUUUACUACUUCCUCAGAAAAUGACACUGCUUUAUAAUUCUAAUGAAAAUUUGCCUUUUCGUUCCCUUCUAAUGUGUACACACUGUCAUUCUUUGGUGGAUUUAGUAAUAAUCAUGUUGGAGUAAACCGACAAGAUUAUGUAAUAAGUGGGAGGCUUCUGGCUAUUGUUCAUUUGGCAGCACAUGUCAUUUGUCGUGGAUUAUGAGAAUAUUGUUUAUCCAUUUUCAUGGCUGCGGAUGUUGAAGUCUGUUCAAUUUCAAUGGAUAAUUACUUACCUUUUUUAUGUUGUUUCCCUAUAAUCGUUUUCAGAAAAUAACUGAGAUGGAUCACUCACAUGGGCUCUUGUACUGGUAGAUAACAGUAUUAUGUCCCCUGUACCAUCCCAUCCUUGACCUUGGAGCAGGCAUGUAUACUUCUUGUUCUGAUAACAUGAACCUUCGUGCGGUAACAUUCUUAAGGUGCUGGUUACCUUAAAUGGUCCGUUAUUUUUCAGAUAUUGUGAUGCAUUCAGCAGCUAAGUCUAUGUUUAGCCAUAGUGAUCUGAUGGGGGCGUAUUGUCAUCAUAGGAGAAAGGUUUUUCUUCUUUAUAUGGUUUCAAGAAGGUGCAGUCCUACCCCCAUUUGAUUGCUGGCUUUGUUUAAGAAGCAUUAAAAUGAUGGUGCUGCAUGUAGAAAAACAAUAGCGUCUAGCUCUCAAGAGCCUGGUUGACAUAAGCAUGGAGUCAUUACUCCUCUCACAGAGCAAUUGACAAAGCCAUUCUUCCAUUAGCCAAUGCCAUGAUUUGCAUUACUCUGAAGGAGUUGUUUGGUGGUGCCCAUAAUCUUCUUCCAAUAGGUACGCAGUUGGUUGUGUCUGUGUGGCGCUGAAUCACAAAACGAGUUGGAAAUCGUAAUCGUCUUGGAACUUCCAAUAAGACGAGUUGGAAAUCCUACUCGUUUUGUGACGAUGAAUCACAAGACGAGUUUGAAUGUGCAAUGUGGUACUUCCAGCAAGUAAUUCAUUCAACUGAGACUCAGAAAUCUUCAACUGUUGGCAAAGACAAUCAAGUACCUUUAUAAAUAUAUGGCUUUCUUCUAUACUUUACUAGUUAUUGAGCUCCAUUCCUCUCGCAGUAAUUUCUUAAGGUCCAUGUAUAUGAUGUCUUUUUACAAAAUAUCUGCUCCCUAUUUUAGAAUUCUGUCGCUAUCUUUUUUCGUGUUGCUUGAUUGAAAGCUUGAACUCAGAGUUCUUGUUUCCUCUUCACUUUAAUUGGUGAGUGCUUGCCUGACAAUCAUAACAUUCAGAAAAAAUUUCUGUCAAAGUUGCAUAAUAUAUGGACAUAGUGUGUUUCCUCAAUAUGGCAGGAAAAUGCGCAAAAGAUAGCUGAAUUUUAUCAUCCCAUUCUCGAGUGCAGAAGAUUACCAUGCUGGUUUUCCCGGUCAUCUUGCCAGAAUUUUUGCACUAUUCUCAUGAUUUUAGUCCUAACUUUAGUAUUCUUGGUUUACCAUUAAUACUAUGAUUUCCCUUUGGCGUUGGACAUUCCCCGUUGGUGUUACAGGCCAAAGGGUCAUUGGCACUUUCUAAGCAUGUUGUUGAGGUCAUCAAAUACUUCAGUGUUACAGUCAGUUUUUGGAAGUGUGUCAAGUUACUCGUAAGCCUGCCUUGUUUUAUGUCCAAUGUGGUUAUACUUGUUGCAGUACGUGAGGCUAGAGGUUUUUACUGUGGAUGUGCUUCUAAUUCCUUUCGGGAUAGAAGAUGUUAGUGAUUUGUACAUGACCUAGACAGUGCGCUUAGAACUGGGCCAGCAGCAUAGAGCAUGGAUCGUCACCUGUCACACAUCUAAACAAGGAUAAUAUACUCGAGGUUUUGCAAAGAUAGCUGCCAAGAAUAUCAGAUUGUUAAGGUUAGCAGAAGAUGAAGAAUAUCAUAUCGUUAAAGAGGGACUUUGUCUACAACAUAAAGUUUAGUUGUCUUGUAUAACAGAUACUUGCAUCUUUGACAAGUUGUUAUGUGAGUUUGAUAAUUCUAGUAAGAAUUUUAACUCUGUUUUUGAUAUUAUGAAGUAAUGUUCCGUAAAAUACAUAAAUAAAGGUGUAAUGGAAUGGCAAGGUAUACAGUUGUCAUCAUUAUAAAUUAUAAUGA